UACCAGCACCCCGAGUGGUCGGGACGAUUAUUGGGCCUAAAGCAUCCGUAGCCGGUCCUGCAAGUCUUCCGUUAAAUCCAGCUGCUCAACAGAUGGGCUGCGGAGGAUACUACAGGGCUAGGAGGCGGGAGAGGCAAGCGGUACUUUAUGGGUAGGGGUAAAAUCCGUUGAUCCAUAGAAGACCACCAGUGGCGAAGGCGGCUUGCCAGAACGCGCUCGACGGUGAGGGAUGAAAGCUGGGGGAGCAAACCGGG
rnacentral:rRNA from 1 species